UACGGGGGGGGCAAGCGUUGUUCGGAAUUACUGGGCGUAAAGGGCUCGUAGGUGGCCAAUUAAGUCAGACGUGAAAUCCCCCGGCUUAACCUGGGAACUGCGUCUGAUACUGGAAGGCUUGAGUAUGGGAGAGGGAUGUAGAAUUCCAGGUGUAGCGGUGAAAUGCGCAGAUAUCAGGAGGAACACCGGUGGCGAAGGCGGGUCUCUGGGCCGAUACUGACGCUGAGGAGCGAAAGCGUGGGGAGCAAACAGG
rnacentral:rRNA from 1 species